UCUGGCUCGUGUCGCCUCUGCGCCUGCGCGCGCUCCCUGGCGCGCCCGUUACCGGCGGGGGGCAGCGGGGGGCUGCCGGUGCCCGGCGCUUGCGGGCCGUCCUCGCUGCCUCAGGGCAGCCUGCCCAGGCCCGGCUCUGCCUUCACAGGUCGCCUAACUGCGGCGGCUCUCGGUGCGCGCGGGGCGGGAAGCCCACCAGUCGCGAAACACCGCCGGUGCCAGCGCUCCAGCCGGCUCAAAGUAUCUUCGCUUAGGAUCCCGAGUUCACCUUUCCCACAUGACCUGGAUUUGAUCUUCCUCUGUCUUACAUCAUGGCAGCAGCAGCAGCAGCAGCGGCAGCAGCAGCAGCGGUGUGCCCUAUAUACAACGUUAGCAGGAGAAGGCUAGGCCGCUGGAGCGGGGCACCUCUCCAAGUUUUCGUGACCACAAGCGGUUCCUUGUGAUGCCCGAGCCGGCCCUCCUUUGCCAGGAGCUUCUGAACGCACAAAGGGAGCCAGUGUUGCCAAGCUCGCCCCCAGGAGCACAGCCGGAUACUGAGGAGAUCCUGCGGAAUGAAUAAGCUCGCAGACGUGACAGACCCUACAACCACAAGCUUCUCCAAGCAGCAGCUGCUCUCUCCUGCCGCAGCAGAUCCACCGCAUAGCGCUGCAAGCAGGGAAAGGAAAGGGUGCGCAGCCUGCCUGGGAUGGACUCCCCUGCACCCAGCAGAGCCACAGCCACAGAGCAAAAGAGGACAAUGAGAUGCGAGGAGAGGAAUGCAGCAGCCUUGGCUGUUCCUGCUUGGAGUCUUGUCAGUGCCAGAUGAUGCAGAACAGCCCAGCUCUGAUGCAGCAGGGAGGCAAGUGAGAAGCAGCCCAGUGCUAGGCAUAGAGUGGAGGGCACACAUACAUCUAGCCCCACUGGGAAGGUUGGGUAGCAGAGCUCAUUUCAGACCCUUCAGAUCUAGACAAAUGGUGUGUAGAUAUGGAGACCUGCAAGGUGAGAACCGAGCUCUGUGGGAAGAGAGCUGUGGCAGGAAUGCCGGCCUGGGAAGGGAGGAAGCAUAAGCAGCAGAACUCUAAGGGUUACAGGAGUUGAUGCUGAGGGGCAGGGUGGUUCUGGGGCUGAGGAAGAAGGCUGCCACAAAACAGCACCCUCAGCUGCCAAAUAAACCUCAGUUAUUCUCUCUGCAAAUCAUUGGUCUCCCCUGUACCCCCCGCUCCAACUCUUGCCAAGCAGAUGAAGCUUCCCAGCACUCCUCCCUUGGCUUAAUUCAGUCCACUUGUCUAUGGAGACCAGAGAUCCCAGAGAGGCAGCCAAACUUCAGCUUAGCCACAGCAAGAUUCAGCACCACCUAAGCCUCCCUUGGCCGUUCGUACCUCCUCACAGCCAGGUCCACUUUCUACCUGUGUAUCAGUUCAGAAAACAUGCCCUGGGGCACAUACACAGCUUCAUACUGUGUGAUAUGUAAACACACCAAUCUCAGCGAAGGAGAAAGCCAGCUCACAGGUGGCAGCAGCAGAGCAAUGUGACAAAAUGAGCCCUUUUAGGGGGCAUGGCAGCUCCCCUUGCCCUAUUAACCCCCUUCCCCUGGGGAGCUGUGUGAGGCCACAGGACUCACUGUAUUCCAGCAGGUGAAGGCAGCUGCCUUUCCUGAAGCAAAUGCUUUACUGAUACAGCAACAGCCUUUUCUCCUACUGACCCCCUGCAAGAGCACAUACUCCACACUCUGCAUCUGGCUUUUCUGCUUCCACCUCCUGGAUCAUGCUGCUUUUCCAGGCUGCAGAACCAUGUGCAUAUCCUGGUAGCAAGUCCCUACAGAAGAACAAGCUCAGUGCAUGUUUGUUUCUGUGAGUUCAACCUGCUCAUGCCUAGACAUGAGCUAGUUGAGCCAUGGUGUUCGCAUGCACCCCUCCAGCACUCAGCAGUGAACAUUAAAGCACAACAAUCAACAAGCAGCUUGCCAAGUGCAUGUGGCAUCCUAUCCAAAACAAGAGCCCUUGAGUUAUGUGAUGAACGUUUGGAGCAUGUCUAGCAAUAGAGAGCAAAGUGUUUAGCACAGCCCAGAAAACAACCUCCUGGGCCUUUUCCAUUUGUUUUGGAUGUGCAGGAUGGUGCACAGAGUGAGAAAGCCUAGGAGUACAGAAUUGUUCUUGCAAAGAAAGCACUGCAUUUGCUGGGUUCCCUACCCCAGCAUUCCACUGAUAAACAAACUACAGCACCAAACACAAAGCUUGCAGGGAGCCAGCCUGCCCCACGUGGAUCAGGCUCCCUGGACAGUCUGCAUCUGGAAAGAGGCAGUGUCUGGAAACUCAGCAGUCAUUAACCAUGGGACAACCUGGAUGGCAAGCCUGGAAGUUGCUCCUGUGUGAGCAUGGAGAUUUGUACCCAAGCCUUCUCUGUGCACAAAGCCUUGAGGGUUUCCAAGAAGUAGCUGAGCAUAGAGAUUAAAAAGGAUCAGGAGCUCAGCACUCAA